ACGGAAGGCAGCAGUGGGGAAUAUUGCACAAUGGGGGAAACCCUGAUGCAGCGACGCCGCGUGAAGGAAGAAGUAUCUCGGUAUGUAAACUUCUAUCAGCAGGGAAGAAAAUGACGGUACCUGACUAAGAAGCCCCGGCUAACUACGUGCCAGCAGCCGCGGUAAUACGUAGGGGGCAAGCGUUAUCCGGAUUUACUGGGUGUAAAGGGAGCGUAGACGGUUUGGCAAGUCUGAAGUGAAAUGCGGGGGCUCAACUCCUGAACUGCUUUGGAAACUGUCGAACUAGAGUGCAGGAGAGGUAAGUGGAAUUCCUAGUGUAGCGGUGAAAUGCGUAGAUAUUAGGAGGAACACCAGUGGCGAAGGCGGCUUACUGGACUGUAACUGACGUUGAGGCUCGAAAGCGUGGGGAGCAAACAGGAUUAGAUACCCUGGUA
rnacentral:rRNA from 1 species